CGGGCGUAGAGGAUGUGUCACGGCGGUGUAUUCCCUGACUUUCUCCCCGGCUUAAGCGCUGUAAUUAGUAGUGCAAACAGAAGAAAUGCAAUUAAGGUAAAUGAACUUGGGACCGAGGAAGGGCUCACUCCGGUUCUUAAAGAAACCUAUCUUGCAGUUUUUGGUUGAAAGCAUAAAAAUCCCACCACCAACCCCACUAAGCCGAAAUAUGAUUAGAGCAAGCCGGGCAAGAGCGCUUGCUGGUGGGACAGGAAGGGGACUCUUCCCAAAUCGAACAGCUCAGAGGCCUGAGAUUUAUGCAGAUGGCAGGAAGGGAGUAUAAGAGCGAGUGAGGCAGCUCAUUCCAGCGAGCGAUAUGGACUUGGGAGCCGCUGGCGUGAUAAGAAGGGAGUCUGCAAAAAAGAAAAAGAAAAAAGCAAUCGGGGAGACAGUUCGAGAACCGCAGCAAAUUCCUUUCCCGGAGAGUUGUUUUGCAGGUGACUUUUUAUAGGAAGCACUGAUGCUAACUGGAAGUUUUUGGAUCAGAAGAAAAGAGAUAUUCAUCAAAGAAACUAAGUGUACGAGCAUUUCUGUGAGGAUAAGUUGAAAUGUUGAUGUUAUAUUAUUUUAAACCUUAUGGUUUUUAAAAAAACAAAAGAUUUCAUCAAGCAAA